rnacentral:lncRNA from 1 species
AAUUAAUCAAACUUAUUCUUUUAUCUUAAUGAUACUUUUUAGAUUACUUGAUACUCCGAAAUCGUCCCUUCUUGAUUCAUCAUUCGAUUUGAAUUGAUCAAGUGUAAGUAUGGAUCAUUUUUAAGUCAUAAAAAUCGUUUUCCUAGUAUUUUCUUGACAUGGCCGAAUGAUUUAGUGCCAUGAGUCAUAGGGUUAUUUUGUUAAUAUUAAUUAUUUACGUACUAUAGUAAUAAUGCUACAUUAUAUUGUUUUGAAGGACCAAACAAUAAUCGUAGGGAAGGCCUUUAACUUUGUAAUGGAAAUUCUCCUUUCAAGAGUCUUAGAUCGUGAAGGUAACAAUGAUACUAUUAGUGAUAGAUCUCUAAAGUGACGAAAAUUUUUUAAAGAUUUAUACUAAUAUGUCUUAAUUAUGUAAUAGAUUGUCUUGCGAGGUAGAUUAAGUGAAACCUAGUAAUAAGGGUUGAAGCAAAUCGAAUCUACUAUCUAAGGUGUGAGAUCGAUUAUACUCAUUAUGUGUAACAUAAUUAUUUUUAUUAUAUUAAUAAUUGAAUUAUAAAUAAUGG